UACGGGGGGAGCAAGCGUUGUUCGGAUUUAUUGGGCGUAAAGAGCGUGUAGGCGGCCAUACAGGUCCGUUGUGAAAACUGGAGGCUUAACCUCCAGACGUCGAUGGAAACCGUAUGGCUAGAGUCCGGAAGAGGAGAGUGGAAUUCCUGGUGUAGCGGUGAAAUGCGCAGAUAUCAGGAAGAACACCCGUGGCGAAGGCGGCUCUCUGGGACGGUACUGACGCUGAGACGCGAAAGCGUGGGGAGCAAACAGG
rnacentral:rRNA from 1 species